UUAGAGACUAACAAAUUUAUUUGGGCAUAAGCUUUCAUGGACUAGAACCCACUUCAUAAAUUGCAUGGAGUGGAAAUUAUGGGAGAAGGUAUAAAUACAUGAAAAGAAGUGAGUUGCCUUACCAAGUUCGAGGUCAGUCUAAAGAGACAGUUCAAUUUACAGUAGGACC